AUUGAACGCUGGCGGCGUGCUUUACACAUGCAAGUCGAACGGUAACAGGGUGCUUGCACCGCUGGCGAGUGGCGAACGGGUGAGUAAUGCGUCGGAACGUGCCGAGUAGUGGGGGAUAACGCAGCGAAAGUUGUGCUAAUACCGCAUACGUACUGAGGUAGAAAGUGGGGGACCUUCGGGCCUCACGCUAUUCGAGCGGCCGACGUCUGAUUAGCUAGUAGGUGAGGUAAAGGCUCACCCAGGCGACGAUCAGUAGCGGGUCUGAGAGGAUGAUCCGCCACACUGGGACUGGGACACGGCCCAGACUCCUACGGGAGGCAGCAGUGGGGAAUUUUGGACAAUGGGCGAAAGCCUGAUCCAGCCAUGCCGCGUGUCUGAAGAAGGCCUUCGGGUUGUAAAGGACUUUUGUCAGGGAGGAAAUCCCUAGUGCUAAUAACACUGGGGGAUGACAGUACCUGAAGAAUAAGCACCGGCUAACUACGUGCCAGCAGCCGCCGUAA
rnacentral:rRNA from 1 species